GAUGAACGCUGGCGGCGUGCUUAACACAUGCAAGUCGAACGGAAAGGCCAGUGCUUGCACUGGUACUCGAGUGGCGAACGGGUGAGUAACACGUGGGUGAUCUGCCCUGCACUUCGGGAUAAGCCUGGGAAACUGGGUCUAAUACCGGAUAGGACAAUGGUUUGGAUGACGUCGUGGAAAGAUUUUUCGGUGUGGGGUGAGCACGCGGCCUAUCAGCUUGUUUGUGGGGUAUUGGCCUACCAAGGCGGCUCAGGGUGACGGGCCUUAGAGGGUGUGCGGGCGCAUGGGGGACGCGAGACGGCCGCGGCACCGAAUGGGGGCAGAUGUGGGGAAGACUGCACGAGGGGCGCAGCCCUGAUGCAGCGGGGCCGCGUGUGGGAUGACGGCGUUGGGGGUGUAGACUCCUGUCGCUAGGGACGAAGCGUAUUUGUGACGGUACCUGGAGAAGAAGCACCGGCUAACUACGUG
rnacentral:rRNA from 1 species